AAAUCUUUUGAAAUCUCCAGAUAUAAUCUGCAAUCUUUGCUAAUUUAGUGCUGUCACUUUAAAAGUGUGGACUACCCUGCCACAAACCAACCAACCAAAAAAUCCUUUACAACAGUUCUGAUCAUCUGAAGGAGAAGAACCUGCCUUCAUUGGAGUCUCUGGAAGAUACUUCUGGAAACUGGGGCUUGGGAUCUCACCCGUGUUUCUCUUUGCAAAGGAAUGUAUGUGUCCUAUGGCUAUCCGUGUGAUUGAAAAGUUGGAGCAGGAGGCCAGAGAUGAGCAGUUGUUCUGCGCACCACAGCUCAUAUUCAGGCCACAGCUGGAAGACAUAGAAGAUUAAGAAAAAUAUCACAAUGUUUUGGAUAACCCCAGGCCUUCCACAACGAUCCAGUUGGAACUAUACACCUGAAGAAGACUUCAUUGGCUAUGCUGAAACUAAGGAGCCCGUGAUUACAGAUAUCUGAAGAUCUCCUUAGCCAAACAGGCUGGCAAAGGCUCUGAUGGCCCUGGAUGGCAAAGCUGAAGUUCUUUCACAUAACCUCACUAAAUUGGAUACCUAGGUGGCCCAGAAUGAAAAGAGGGACGACAUGUAUUAGAGACGCUCCGAGAUAAAGCAAGCAUGGGGAAAAAAACAAUUAA